GCCUACACAUGCAAGUCGAACGGUAACUUUUGGUGCUUGCACCGAAAGACGAGUGGCGAACGGGUGCGUAACGCGUAUGCAAUCUACCUUUUACUAGGGUAUAGCCCAGAGAAAUUUGGAUUAAUCCCCUAUAAUAUCAUUUAAUCGCAUGAUUUUAUGAUUAAAGCUUCGGCGGUAAAAGAUGAGCAUGCGUCCUAUUAGUUAGUAGGUGAGGUAACGGCUCACCUAGACUCCGAUAGGUAGGGGUCCUGAGAGGGAGAUCCCCCACACUGGUACUGAGACACGGACCAGACUCCUACGGGAGGCAGCAGUGAGGAAUAUUGGACAAUGGACGAAAGUCUGAUCCAGCUAUGCCGCGUGCAGGAUGACGGCCCUAUGGGUUGUAAACUGCUUUUAUACAGGAAGAAAAACUCCGACGUGUCGGAACUUGACGGUACUGUAAGAAUAAGGAUCGGCUAACUCCGUGCCAGCAGCCGCGGUAAUACGGAGGAUCCAAGCGUUAUCCGGAAUCAUUGGGUUUAAAGGGUCCGUAGGCGGUUUUUUAAGUCAGAGGUGAAAUCCUGCAGCUCAACUGUAGAAUUGCCUUUGAUACUGAAAGACUUGAGUUAUUGUGAAGUGGUUAGAAUGUGUGGUGUAGCGGUGAAAUGCAUAGAUAUCACACAGAAUACCAAUUGCGAAGGCAGAUCACUAACAAUUAACUGACGCUCAGGGACGAAAGUGUGGGGAGCAAACAGGAUUAGAUACCCUGGUAGUCCACACCGUAAACGAUGAAUGCCAGUCGUCGGGUAGCAUGCUAUUCGGUGACACACCUAACGGAUUAAGCAUUCCGCCUGGGGAGUACGGUCGCAAGAUUAAAACUCAAAGGAAUUGACGGGGGCCCCCCCAAGCGGUGGAGCAUGUGGUUUAAUUC
rnacentral:rRNA from 1 species